CUCUCCUUGACUUUAAUUUUAUCUAUAAUAGUUAAUGGGGGAAAUAACAGAUCAUUCGACUAAACUUUUGAACCAGAUGCUGGAGCAACCUCCUCUACUGCCGUCCAGUGUGACUGACUCUUCAGCUGACAUUAAUAAUAUUAUAAUAAAAUAUGAUAAGAACAUAAUCUUGGGAGAUGUGAUACAUUUUAUUGUUGGCCGUUUUAUUAAAGUUCUUGUAAAGUUAAUUCAUAGAUUUGUUUCUAAAUACGUUAUAAAUGUUUGAAAAUAAUUGCUAAAACCUUUGAGAAGACUGAGAACUAUGUAGUACUGAAUUGUGGAGAUACAGCAUUAAACUGUUUUUCACCAUUUCUGUGUUCCUGGUUUGUUGGGCGUGGCUACAACGGCUAUACCGUGACGUAGUGGCGUGACCGGCAUGACCCCUCCCCCCCAUAUAAGAACAAGAGCGCCCUUGCAUCAGUGGUUGUCCCGCUCAAUUGCCAGUUAUUAUUACUAUUUCUACUACUACAGCGUACAGUUUGCUAGCUAGCUAGUUAUGCCUGCACCCCGAAAAUGCAUCUUCCCUGGAUGCCACAAUUUAAACAACAGCUCAUGUCGUUAUUUAAAUUUCCAAAGAAUGAGGAGAUGAAAAAAAGGUGGAUUGACUUUGUGAAGAGCCACGUUGCUGGAGAGCUGAGGAUCACCAACAACAUCCACCUCUGCAGUGACCAUUUUACACUGGACAGUUUUGCAAACUUUCAUCAGAGACAACUGGGCUUCACGGAUAAACCGCUGUUACUGGUGAAUGGGGCCAAGCCUACUGUUUCCCUCCCUGGGCUUCACCCUCCUGUUCAGCCGUCAUCAGGUGCCAUGGUCAGCAGUCACAUUAUAUGCCCACCAAUGAGUGUAAGUUGGCUUGUGUGCUUAUUUUACAAUUAUAGUCCACAGUAACUAUUCAAUUUUGAAGGUGAGCCUGAUUUUACAUCGUGUAAACUACCAUCAUUUUCAUAGUGCAUGUUAUGAAAAUACACUGCUUAUCUACAGAAAAGCUAACGUUAAUUAGCAUCCAUAACGCAGACUUCCCUCCCCGGGCUUUAUCCUCCCACCGCCAAAAUCUAUGUUACUGCUAUAGUGGACAGUACUGUUAUGUGCCAACAAAUUAGUGAACUGUCAUGUGUACUUAUGUUGUAAUUAUAGUUCACAGUAACUAUUAUAUUUUGAAGGAGGUGAGCCCCCUAACGUGAUUUUACAUCAUGUCAACUAAAAUCAUUUUCAUAGUGUAUGCAAUGAAAAUACACUGCUUAUACACAAAAUAGCCAGGGUUAGUGAGUAUCCAUAACGUGGACUUCCUUCCCCCGGCUUCAUCCUCCCACCGCCAAAAUCUACUGCCAUAGUAACGCAGUAACGUUAUGUGCCAACAAAUGAGUGUAUGUUGACUUAUAUGCUUAUUUUAUGAUUAUUGUCCAAAGUAGAGGACUGCAUUGGGAUUGGGGAUGCAAAUCUUGCGGGAGCGGGCGGUUUUAACUGUGCUGCAGGUUGGAGCAGGUGGUGAAAGAAUAAACUGCGGGUCAGGAGGUUUAGCCAGCGCUUCAAGCCACUCAUAGAGCCGGGCUGAGUGCUCAGUCAGCGCUUCACACACAGUCAGCGUUAUCCCUGAUACUGCUACCUGCUGCCGCUCCUCCACACACACACACACACACACACACACACACAUACAUAUAACGCACACACUAAUAUUCCGUAUUUACGUGCGUGUUGUCUCACUGAGGUAUUUUUCUCAUGUAAAUUGAGACAGAGAGUGUUAUUUGGCCCUAAAAUGACAGUACAUUUUGGCAUUAUAUCUGAUUUUAUUUGUGAUUGUAUAUAUAGGUAUACAUACUAUUAUUUUUGUUGUUGUAACCAUUGUCAUUUUUAGUUAUUUAUAACAAAUGUGGUUAUUACUAUUAUUACUAUUAACAUAUGUAUAUAGUGGGAUUGAUUCAACUUGCCCAGAGUGGGUUCAAAAUUUGAGUUGUCAUGUAAUUUAAUGCACAUAUGCAGCAUACAUGUUUCAGUCAUGUCUAAACUAAAGCUUCUCCUCACCCUUUAUAUUAUCCCCCUCAGUAUGUUUGACUCCUUAGACAAGUACUUUCAGCUGUUAUCUGUUUUCACAAAGCAGUCCCCUCCAACCACAAGAGAGCAUGCCAGUGUGACGACAUGCGGAAAGUCACGAGAGAAGUUGAUUGUCAGACGGACCGCUUUUAGGGGAAAAGGACUGUGGCCACACAACUGUCCAAAAGAACAUUAAGCAACAGAAAGACUACAGUUCCAUCAUACUCCACGCAGUACUGAGGUUGCAGCCUAUGUUGGAACAACUAAGGGAAGGCCUGCAGCUGUAUGACCUUCUUUUGCUAAUCAGGCAGUACUAAGAUAUCUGCCGACCCGUUUGUUCCAGGGGAAGAUGUAAAAGUAAAUGCAGAGUUUAUCAUGGCAUCCAUUCUUCCUCAACUGAGUGACAAAGGAACUACAAGGCAUCAGAUUGAGCUGAAGAUGAUUAACUUUAUUCAGGACUUCCUUUAUGAAGCUGAAGCUGAAGAUCAGAGGAAUGGAGAUGACAAAGAUGGCCCACAUUCCAUCACACCUGCAAGGUUUCUGCAGUGGAUCACAGGCAAAGGUCGCAUCCCACUUCUUCCCUCAGAGAACAAGGAUUUUGCUGUUAUGAUCAAGUUUAACCAUGACUGCAGUGCGGACUUCGGGCAUCACAGUGUCUGUUACCCUGUUGUGUCAGCAUGUGCCAAGACUAUUGUGCUACCUGUAAAACAUACGAGGUCCUAUGACCAGUUCAAAAAGGUUCAAACAGAGGCUUUUCAUCUAGGCCAAGAAUUUAACAAUGUGUAAACAAUUACCAUUAGCUGCCUCUGUGUUUCAAGGUUACACUACUACAUAAUGUUUACUUGAUAAAUGUAUAGCACCAACUGAUACUGUUUUACUACUCUAUGUUCUGGUUAAAGAAACGCAUUUCUUAGUAUUGCUGUGUUCAAAGAUCUUGCCAUAUUUGGAAAGAGGAAUUAAUAAGUAAACAUAAAAACACUGUAAUGGCAGUACUGUUGAACAUUUAUAAAAGACAAUCAAAUAUUAAUGAUUUGAAGCAAAUCUUGCAACAAGAUUUUAAUAUGAAUACAAUUAGCUGUUAUCUCUUUAAUUUAUUUGAUAAUGGUGAUUGGAAACCACUUUGAAACAUGUUUUUAUAAAUGACAAAAUAAUACUAAAAAAUUAACAUUAUUUAGUAUAACAAAUUUUAAUUACUAGUGUAAUAUACAGUUAAAAAAUAGUUUUUUCAUGGUAUAAGUUUUGAGGGUUUUCUCUAUAGUGUUGUAAAGCUGUUUUAAGAACAAUGCUUGUGUCUUAAAUCUUUCAAAUGAAAUGAUGUGAGCAUUGUUAUUCUAUUCUUAUUGACUGUUAUGACAGUCUUUUAAUUAAAACUUUUUUAAAAAUUAAAUUAAAACUUAAUUAGUACCUCUGCC